AUCGGUACCAGGGAUAGAACUCACGACUGCUUGCUUGCAAGGCAGGCACUUAUGCCGCUGAGCUAAAUCCCCAGCUCCUAUUUAAUUAAUCUUUAUUGUAUGUAAGUAGAUACUCCAAGAUAAGUGCUUUACAUCUUUGAUAUCAAUUAGUCUUCCCAAUGGAUUUAUGCUGUGGCUUGUGCUACCUUUUUGACACUGUGACAAAACUAUCUGGAAACCAAUUUAAAAGGAGGAGAGGUUUAUUUUGGCUUAGGGUUUCAGAAGGUUCAGUCCUUGGUUGUUGGCCUGGUUGUUUUGGGCAGCACAGUAUGUCAUGGUUGGAGUACAUGUCAGAGAAAUCUACUCACCUUCUGGUGGUCAAGAAACCGGAAUAGAGACAGGAAGAAGCUAGAACCCCAAUAUCCUCUCAAGGUGGUGCCUCCAAUGGCCUUACUUGCUCCCAUGGGAACUUACCUCUUGAAACGGGUACAGUCUCACCACAGGCUGUGGUGACAAAGACCAGGUCUUUGUCACAUGGGCUGUUGAAGUCAUUCCCAAACCACAGCAUUGCUUGCACUCAGUGGAACUGAGAACUAAGGAUCAGGGAACUUAAGUUACCUCCAUCUCGCCCAGCUUGCUGGUUAACUUCUGAGGAGCUGGGAUUAAAAUGCAAGUUUGAUUCUCUCUGAGUUCAGUGCCCAUUCUGCUGUGCCAUGAUUAUUUUAAAAUAGGAUUUAGUCUAUAGUCAGCUGAUUCCAAAGCAGGAACAUCAUAGCAGAAGAGCCUGGCAGAAAAAAGACACACACCACAUGGUGGUCAGGAGGCAGAGAAAGAUGAAAGGAGCUGGGGACAAAGAUGCAUCCUUCCAGGUCACACCUCAGUGACGACUAUGCAUCAGACCCACCCCUAAGAGUGCAUUCAGCUCUGUAUUCUCAAUGGCAAGUGCAGCACCCUCACAAUCUUAUGACCUUCUGAAAGCCUCACCUCAGAGUGCGUGAGGCUCCCGGGGAUACUCUAGAUCUAAACCGCAACAGCGCUCCUGAUUUAUAAGGGUCAGUGCCCGCCUUGUGGCUUAGGCUGCCCUUCUUGGCCUCAAAGAUUUUAUUGAGAAACCUAUUUGCUUUCACUUCUUCUGCUUCCUGCUGCUGUAUGACUCAAGUUUUUCUGCCUGUUUGCCCUUUCAAGCCCUUCAUGAGGGAAUCCGGGCUGGAGAGAGUUCAAACACAGUUAAAGAGCCCCUCCUCCCAUCCCUUUCUAUUUGCGCAUUUAUUUUUAACUGCUUGUCUUUCUGACAGGAACUCUGUUUGUCCUGACUUGAGUCUGGUACUAUGAGUCACUGGGGAGAUAUAAUAUGCUGAUUGCUGAACCAGGUUAUAAUUUUUUCCUCUUCUAUGACUCAUUCUCUUCAACACUCUCUAAUUUAUGAUAAAAAUCAGUAAGAUGUGAGUGCAGAGUUUCUAAAGGCCUGCUUUACUUUUACGACACUGGGAAUUGAAUCCAGAACUUAUGCACUGGGCUCCAUUCCUAGUCAUCAAACCCCUUUAAUUUUCUUUUUAAUUUUAAGGCAGAGUCUCACUAAGCUACUAAGUUGUGUAGGUAGGACACCAACUAGUCAUCUUCCUGUCUCAGCCUCCCUGAGUGCUGGAAUUACAGGUUUGAAUUAAGCACUGCAUUGUUCUUCAAAGAUGUGACGACUCCCAUCCCCACCCUGCAAAAGAAAAGCUUUCAUACAAUUCAGAAUGGAUGGUGCAGACAUCCAGGCAGAACGUUUGCCUGAUGAGUCUGCGAACUGAAUUCCCGGGACAGACUUCUCCUACCUAGAGGCUUUCAAGCAGCAUUUGCAGUGUGAGUGAUAUUUAAGGUGGGUCUUCAGGUAUAUAUAGGACUUCAUGGAUAAAGAAGACAAGGAAAAAAGUCCUGGGGAGCUGAAUUAUAAUUGAAGCUAUGAGGGGAUGAUAGGUCUGAGGAGGGGCCAGUGGGCUGGUGUGAUGAUGGCUCAUGGUUCUAGAGAAUUUGAGGGAAGAGCUGUGUUUGGCGGUGACACAGGCAGAGAUCACUGCAGAUUUACUGUCGUGGUUUUCAACUCCACUCCAGAUGGGCAAGGAGAAAUUUCUGAGAAACCUGAGCCCAUAUUUCUUCUGAGAAAGUUUUCACAAAACAAAAAAUAAAUGUGUGAUGUUUUAAGCAAAGUUUUAGCUACUUAUUCACAAUUAAGACAAAAUAGCUGACCUCCAAAGUUAGCAGGGGGAAGGGUUUAUUUCAGUUCAUUGUCUGUAGAGGUUUCCAGGCUCCAAGGUAGGGUGGCAUGGCAGACGGGGAUCACAGAGGGGUAACUGUCCGUGGCAGACCAGGCAGGAAGCAGUGAUCAGCAGGCAGCAAGCUUCCCCUUCCCUGUUAUUCCAUUCAGGCUAAGGCCUCUUGGGUGACGCCAUGCACAACUGAGGGGGGACUUUUGUCUUCCAUAAAUCCAUUCAGCUACACCAAAAGUAUGCUAAUUAAAAUCAGUGGACUAAUUUAGUGUCACACACUCUUGAUCCUAGUAUUAUACAUCCUAGGUCCAAAAAGCCCCACUGUCAUGGUUUAUGUCAAUGGCUCCCAAGCCUCAUGCAAUUAUGGAUUCAACCAAAUCUAGUGUUUGUGAUUGGUUCUUAUCUAGCAGUUGGAUGGGUGGUGUGAGUGCUACACCCCCACAGGGAUGGAGCCAGGACAGGAUGUAAUGGCAGGAAGAAGGUGUGUCUCUCUCUCUUGCCUGUUCCCACCUUGCUGUUUGUGGCUGCCAUGAAUGAAGGCCCCACCAUGCCACCCUCUGUUGGAGCCAGCUGAGUGUGGACUGAAACCUCCAAGAACUUCUCACGUGUUUGAUGAUGGAGAGGAUUUCUCACCGAUUAGCCUCUGUCUGCACAUUUCCAAAUCUGUUUCUUCUCUUGUCCGCACACAAGCCUGAAGCCUGCAGCCGCGGGGUAAAUUCAUACUGUGAGUCACCUCUGGCCCUGCUCCUGUGUGCCAUAGCACUGGAAGAAAGAGAAGCAGAGAAGUUAAGAAACUCACCAAAGUCACGUCAGCCUCACUGGAGACAGAAUGGAACCCAGGUGCAAUGGUGCCAAGAAAGUAUCUGGUUAUUCCACCAGGGGCCUGAGAUUCUGGGGGGAAAGAUACAGCGCACCACUCCAUUGUCUUUAAAAUCCACAGACUGAACUAAAAGCAAUCCUAUUUUUAACUCUAGUCUAUCUCCUGUUUAUUAUCUAUUUUUGCCUAGUUUCCACAAUUGUACAUUUUGAGAGUGAUGGUUAAAAUAGUCACAAACAUUUCCCUCUGUUAGUUCAUUGGUUGGGAUGAUCAUGACUUAGAAGUUAUGGCAUCAAGCAAGACCACUUUUGGCUAAGUACGUUAGAAUCCUCAAACUAAAACUGCAAACCUUGCUGCCUACUGGUACCAUCCACCAUCACCAAGAGAACUACAAGUAGUUUUACCGUAUUUGUUUCAGUGCAUUUAAACGCCAGAACCCUAGAGAUAUUAAAAUGUAGCUAUUAAUUAGUAGAACUCAGAAAAUGAAGUUGCUAUAUAACUUUACUUGGUGAUGGUAUAACUUGAAGAGGUGAUUGUCAAAGGAAUCAGGACGCAGUUCAAAUCCAAGAAUAGCAUAAUCUCUGUUCUUAGACAACACAUCAUUUUUGAAGGAUGUCAUGUCUAAAACGCCGGGCUUCUGAAAUACCCUUUGAAAUACAAAAUCCUAAAAUAUAUUCUGCACACAGAGCAAGAACUGAGCAGGAGCACACUGGGCAGAGAAGAAAGCUGCUCUUAGGAAGCUUUCAUACAGCCACCUAGACUCAGAGACACCUUGGACACAAUUUCCAGCAUGACUGCAAACAUCACUGGCCAUUUGUUCCCCGACAGAAGCAGUAAGCAACAGAAGGUGGGGAUCCCUGUGGCCUGCAAUGGAGAGAGGGUGGGAAAUGAGGGAGGAGUGGAAGAGAAAUACGGAAUGCAAGUGUGGUCAGGACCUGAAGUCCUCUGGGGUAGCCAGUGUGAAGUGGGCCCAGUUACCCAAGAAAGCAGAGGUGGGGGGCUCCUCUGUGUGGUGCCUAGAGGCCCUGGAAGGUCAGGACCAGAGACUUGAGGGGAAGCACUGCGCAAAGUCUCCAGGCCACCUGGCACGUCCCAGCCCGGCACACGUGCUGUCCAGCUGUGGCUCCUCUGCUGCCUAGCACACAAUCCUAGCAUCACCUGUCAUGUCCAGAGCAUCUUCCGCCUCAAAUGUAACCAACACCUGUAAACACCGGUCACUCACUUUGCAUCUUGAUGGAAUGUAUUGGUACCAAAGAGACUCAAAACUGCAAGAGAUUUCUCAUAGGAGUUUAGCAUGGAGGACUGUUUUAUUUUUAAUUAAAUCCCUGAACCAUGAUUGCUGCAACCUGCCUUCUCAUUCUCCAAGCAAAAAUGCCUGUAACUUCCACUUAGACUUCCAGAGUCAUUUACACUUUACUGAGAAGUUUCAUGUGCCUUGAUUCCAUACAGUCCUCUGACAAAAAAAGCUUUCAGGCAAUCAUUUCCACCUUGUAGAAGUUCAAAUGGAAAUAGAUGAUCCCAGAAAACCAACGUUUGGACCAUUGCUAGCUGUUCUGCUAAAAAAUCUCUGACUUUGCACAACUCUUCAUUGGAGCCAACUUGCUACCUCUAGUUUUUUACAUAUGAGGUUUUGCUUAUUAUCAUUUGUCUGUUUUUUCUAGACCAUCUACUGUUCUCAACCAUAAUUCUUUAGGGCAGAAUUGUUGGCUUUGUAAAAGCCUGGAUUGAAAUAAUAAUCUCCUUAGAUAUCUGCAAUGCAUACUGGGUGGUUUAGCAGACACCACUGACCUUCAGUGUUCUCACCUGUGAUAGGGAGAUGUGCAGCCUGAAGCUAAGAAUGCCUGGCCAAUGUCACAGCCCUCUCCUCCCAGCAGGCCCCUCACAUCUGGGCUUACUGACUUUCAUUCGGCUGUGGACUAUGGGGCCCAUCACUUUUAAAAGGGCCCUUGUGGUGCUGCCUAUAAGCGAUUCAGGGCACUGAUGGGGAGAGCCAGGAUGGAAGCUAAGAUCCUGCCUAUGAGCCGGAUUGGCCUGCAGACUGGGGAGAGGAGAACAUCCUCUGUGGUGAGCAACCAGCUAAAUUUGGAAGAACUGUGUUGUUUGAUUGACUUUGCAAGCCUAAACUCAAGCAACUAUUUAGAGGACAGCAUUGUGCAAUAUAAUAACUAUUGUAGGUUUCCUAAUGUCUUAUCACUGUUCUGAUUUGUUUUAUUGCUCUGUUUUAUUUCCUUUAAAAUUACAGAGAGAAAAAACUGAAGGAGUUAGUGGGAUCCAAAAUGUACAGAAGAUACUGUGAGGGUGAAAGGGGAAGAAAUGUCUAAAAAAGGAAGGCCGUAGCCAUUGUUAGUUUCCUAUUAUCCUGUUUUGAAUUUUUUUCUUGGUAUUAGGGAUCAAACUCAUGCCAGGCAGGUGCUUAUACCACUGACAUAAAUCCCUGGCCCUAUUACCUUGUUUUGAAAUCCUGUUUUCAUUGUUUUGUUUGGUUUGCUUUUAUUCUGUUUAGUUUUGUUAGAUUCUAUGAUGUCUGAUGGUGUGGCCAGCUCUUUUCAAGAUAACAAGAAAUAUUAUGGUAGCCAUUGUUGAUUUCCUAUUAUCUUAUUUUGAAGUCCUGUAUCACUUUCAUUUCUUUGUUUGUAUUGUUUUUAUUCAGUCCUGUUUUGUUUGAUUUUACUAUGUCUUAUAAUAUGGACAGUUAUUUGGAAGAUAACUUGAGGCCCUGUGGUAGAAAUUGUUGAUUUUCUAGUCUCUUGUUUUGAAGUCCUGUAUUGUUCUCAUUGCUUUGUUUUGAUUGGUUUUACUAUGUUUCAUUAUUUUUUAUUUUAUUCUCUUUAAAAUAGAAUUUUAAAAAAUAAAGUUAAAAAAAAAAAAGGACCUAUGUAAUACUGCUAGUGGUUCUGUUCUAUUUGGGCUGUAAAUGACCAGACUGACGCUUUGCAAAGGGGCAAGUUCAUUCAUCAGAUAUAAU